AAAAAGGUUCCAACAACAGAUGAGGAAAAUGGUAAUUUGGAAAUGAGUUCAAAGUCUGGAGAGAUACAAAAAGCUAGAUGGUGCCGUGAAUAACAAGUGCAUGGGAUGGUGGGAGUUGCAUAUUCUUUGGUUCCACUGUAGCAGUAGGUUUCAGAUGUAUUUGCUGCACUUCCUAGAGCCAAGAACAUACUCUCUCUAUAUACUUAAUGCAUCACAAGAUACUCUGAAUAUUGUGGAAGGAAGCCCAACAACCUGCUCUAUAUCCCAUCCAUUGCAAACAGGAACUUUCCUGCACUCCAUUACAAGAUACUGAAUCCUCCUUGAGCAGUCAGUCCCCCUGUUAUUCUCCCAAGCUAACAGAGAGUUGUGUCAGCACUGG
rnacentral:lncRNA from 1 species